rnacentral:rRNA from 1 species
AACAAACGCUGGCGGCGUGCCUAAUACAUGCAAGUCGAACGAGGUAGCAAUACCUAGUGGCGCACGGGUGAGUAACGCGUGGAUAAUCUGCCUUUGAGUGGGGGAUAACUAGUCGAAAGAUUAGCUAAUACCGCAUAAGACCACGGGAACUGAGGUUCUAGGGGUUAAAGGUUUUUCGCUCAUAGAUGAGUCCGCGUGAGAUUAGCUAGUUGGUGAGGUAACGGCUCACCAAGGCGACGAUCUCUAACUGGUCUGAGAGGAUGAUCAGUCACACUGGAACUGAGACACGGUCCAGACUCCUACGGGAGGCAGCAGUAGGGAAUAUUGCACAAUGGAGGAAACUCUGAUGCAGCGACGCCGCGUGAGUGAUGAAGGCUUUCGGGUCGUAAAGCUCUGUCGCAGGGGAAUAACACAAUGAAUGUACCCUGUAAGAAAGGAUCGGCUAACUUCGUGCCAGCAGCAGCCGCAG